UGGAUCAAGGAUGACUCCUGGUGGUGUAUGAGUUGUAUACGAAGAACGCAUGUCUGGAACUCUGAGGUUCUC